rnacentral:rRNA from 1 species
AUGGCUCUGUGGACUGGGCUGGGUCAGGCCGCGACGGUGGCGCAGCUGGUCGGCACAGACGUCGGCGGGCUCAUCUCUAUGAUUGUGCAGGCUGCGCUAACGGCUCGGCAGAAUAGGUCCGAGUGUGAGCAGCUCAUGCGUCGGGUCCUUAUGAUCCUGGGCGACACACUUCGGGAUGCCCAAGAGCUCGUCAUGUCCUGCCAAGGCAGGAGCGCCGCGUACCAGUUCGUCAUGGCCGGGAGGCAGGCCGAAAAGUUCCGGGCCGUGCAUAGCAGGAUUGACUCCUAUCUAUUCCUCUUCCCUGUGAUCAGCCACAUUGGCAUAACACGUCGCCUUGGACUA